GUAUUUACUUGGCAGUGUAGAUACCACGAUCACAAAGAUGGUUUCCCCAGGUUGAGGCUUGACCAUCACACUUUGGAUGAGCUGACCCCUGAAAUUUCCUCACACGUAGGAAACUCUGCUGCAUAGUUUGUGGUAGUGGGACACUGCAUUCACACUACCCCU